rnacentral:rRNA from 1 species
CGGCGAGUGAAGCGGCAACAGCUCAAAUUUGAAAUCUGGCCUAUGGUCCGAGUUGUAAUUUGCAGAGGAUGCUUCGGGCGCGGUGCCUUCCAAGUCCCCUGGAACGGGGCGCCGGAGAGGGUGAGAGCCCCGUACGGUUGGCGGCCAAGCCUGUGUGAAGCUCCUUCGACGAGUCGAGUAGUUUGGGAAUGCUGCUCUAAGCGGGAGGUAGACCCCUUCUAAAGCUAAAUACCGGCCAGAGACCGAUAGCGCACAAGUAGAGUGAUCGAAAGAUGAAAAGCACUUUGAAAAGAGGGUUAAACAGCACGUGAAAUUGUUGAAAGGGAAGCGCUUGUGACCAGACGUGCGCCGGGGUGUUCAGCGGGCGUUCUCGCCCGUGCACUCGCCCCGGUGCAGGCCAGCGUCGGUUUGGGUGGGGGGAUAAAGGCGUCUGGAAUGUGGCUCCUCCGGGAGUGUUAUAGCCAGACGUGCCAUGCCUCCGCCUGGACCGAGGUACGCGUUCUGCAAGGACGCUGGCGUAAUGGUCUCCAGCGACCCGUCUUGAAACACGGACCAAGGAGUCGAGGUUUUGCGCGAGUGUUUGGGUGGAAAACCCGCACGCGUAAUGAAAGUGAACGUAGGUGAGAGCUUCGGCGCAUCACCGACCGAUCCUGAUGUUUUCGGAUGGAUUUGAGUAAGAGCGUAGGGCCUCGGACCCGAAAGAUGGUGAACUAUGCUUGGAUAGGGUGAAGCCAGAGGAAACUCUGGUGGAGGCUCGCAGCGGUUCUGACGUGCAAAUCGAUCGUC